rnacentral:rRNA from 1 species
GUACACACCGCCCGUCGCUACUACCGAUUGAAUGGCUUAGUGAGGCUUCGGAUUGGGGGCUUCCGCAAGGCUGCGCCUCUGAGAUGCUGGACAAACUUGGUCAUUUAGAGGAAGUAAAAGUCGUAACAUAAUCGUAGGUGAACCUGCAGAAGGAUCA